AUAACAUACUUUUUACCAAGUUAUUCAACAAACCAUCUUUUACUCUCAACUUCGCAUCUUUGGUUCUCUCCUACACCACACAAACUAGCCCCUAAAUUUUAUCCAUGUGUCUUUUUUGGUUAUCCAUCUCAUCGUCAUAGCUAACGAUGUCUUGAUCUUCUCACUAGAAAGUUUAUCGUCACUCAUCAUGUUUUUUAAUGAAUCUCUGUUUCCAUUUGCUUAGUUUUCUCCCACAUAAUCACCCCUGAUAUGACUUCCUAUAUUAUUCCAUUAACCCUUCACCUAUCUCCUGUUAGUUUCUCGAGUCUCACAUUCCCAAUCCAUAUGUAACCGGGGUGCUGUCAUUAAAUACCUCAUCGACCAACCCUCCCUCAUCUCAACCAUCUAGCUCACCACUUGAGGAUACAAACCCUUCCCAAUAGAUCCAUUAUCGUCACAACAGUCAUAACAUCCAUCUAUACUCACCCUAUGCUCACUGAGCCCAACAAGGCAUUACCAAACCAACCGUUAAGCUUAAUCUUCAUGUCACCACAUCUUCCAAUCCCCCCGUCUUACACAAUACACAUAUUCCCUAUAGGAUCCUCAAUGGUACGACGCCAUGCCGGAUGAAUAUAGUGCUCUAUAGUGCUCUUAUUUCUUAAUUAAAAAAAUGUCAAUUAUAUAAAACUCUAAUUUCUAACAUUCUUAUGCAUUGCUACUUGUACUUUGUGUUUUAAAAUUUGUUUGGUGGUUUCUAUGAAACCAUGGAUGGGUUUCUUUCCACGUGUUCAACCCCAAAAUGAUUGCAACCCUAAGAAGGCUACGUGUUCAUCUUCAGAUCAUCAAGGCUAUGAAAUCAUCAACAGUCUUGCGGUGAAGUAAACAAACAUUAGAGAGAAAAGGAAGGCUGGUGAGGGUGGAUCGAGAACAGAGACCGGUACUUCCGUCGUGCAAGCUUCUUAAGUGUGGCAGGGGAGGUUGACCGGCGAUGGCCGUUCAACUGGUGGUAGUCCUCACCAUUUCAAGCUCUUUAACCCGAAUCUCACACCUGCAUUCAUCAGGUUAAAUCCCCCAAUUUUAUGCAGCAAUGCUUCUUCCCUGAUUUUAGGGUUUUUAGAGACCCUGCUUCCUUAAUCAAUUACUGAAAUUUGUUUGAAGACUGUAUUUAUUUUUAGGUUUUUGAUGUUUAGUUUUGAUAUUUGUGUGUUUAUGAUGUUGUAAUAUUGCUUCUGUGUUUGUAUGGAAGAUAUUGUUGUUAAAAUUUGUGUUGUAAUGUAUUGUGAUGUGAUGUUAUGUUUAGCGAAGUUGUUGUGGAUGAUUGUGUUGUUUAUCGAACAUGAGGUUUUCUUAGGUGAUGGAAGGGAUGAUGAUGAUACAUUCAGCUGGGAUCUUGCUUUUGGUUACUUGCUUCAUGCUUGGUUAACUAUCCUCAGAAGAGAUUAUUUUUAAUGGAUGUGCAGUUUAUCACACUAGAUGGCACAAGGAUAAGAGCAACUCCAAGAAUCAUAACAAAUCUUAAAUAGCACUCAGAAUACAGCCAUGUGUCCCCAUCUGAACCUGAACUGCACAAAAGAGGAUGGUUAAUAAAAAUCUUAGUCUUAAUGUUUGUUUUAUGGCUAUCAACAUUUAUUAGAAUGAGAAACAAUAAGUAUUUCAAAUAUGAAUUAACAUUAAGUCUAUAUACAAAUUAAUGUUUGUUUCGAUCUUAAUUCGUAAAUUGAUUAACUAAGUUGUUUUUACGCUUCUGAUCAGGCCGACGACAACAAAAUUUGCAGCCAUUGGCAAUACAAAGGCUUCUAUUUCUUUUCAUGUCUUCUUUCUUUGUGACGUUGUAUCGUGCUUUGUUUUUCUGCAUUCUGUUUCUGCCAUCUAUUCUAUUUCAGGUUUGUUUGUCGGUACUUUGAUUUGUGCAAUUUGUUGAUUUGCUCAUAUACCAUGUAUGUAACUUGCUUGAAAAUUGUGAUAAUUUGUAUUAGCUGUUUUAAGUGAUGUAGUAGAAUUAGUAACAUGAGAGAAUGUAACGCAUUACAAAUUAUAGAUAUAAUCCAGAUGCAAAUUAUAAAAACAUUUAGGGUUAUUAUUUAUUAAAGAACAUGGUCGUGGUUUAUGCUUCAUAGAGUCUAGGAAUACUUUUGAUUAUUAUAGAUGUUAUGGCCUUGCAUUUGGUAACAAUAAAAUAAGAAUAAAUAAACAAAAGAAAUGCCAACUGGAGCUGGUGGAUAUUUAAGCAAUACAAGAUGCACACAUAAGUUAUCUCUUUGAGUUAAAUUGAUCAGAUGACAUACACUGGUAGCAAAUCCUUUCUAUUUUGAAGUCAUUUUUUGAAAUCUUAUAGUAUUUCCAUGUUAUAGCUUAAAUUAUAGUAAGUUUUGAAGUCAUUUUUUGAAUCUUAUAGUAUUUCCAUGUUAUAACUUAAAUAAUAGUAAGUUACCUGCUUCUGAAUCAGAUUACACACAUUUUUUUUGUCUUUUGUUGAUAUGCUAUGUCAAGUGUAUAUUGCGUUAGGUAUUGUAAUUUCUAAGUUUGUGGAAUCCUUAUAUAAUGGAAACUGGCUUUUGUAAUGUUGGAGUAUGAGAAAAUAGUCGAAGGGUCACAGGAAAAAGUAGACAUCCUAAAGUAGAUCAAUGACAUAAAGAAUCAUCGUUCCCAUUUGGAUAGUAGUGUAGAUGCGAUCGGGGUGCAACUAUUUGACUCUGGCAAUGGUUUUAUGAUUGUCAACUCUCUUCGGGCUCAAGGGAGUCAACAGUAGAUGAUUGGGGAUGCCUAAAGUCCAUGGAUCGUGUGUUUGAGACGAAUUGUGGUGCGCUGAGAGAAUACAGGAUGAAACACAUGCGGGCAUUUGCCAACAUUUGUAACAAUAAUGUUACCGAGGCCGCCAUGGCAUCGGCCUUGGCAGAUGUUUGUGGCGAGCAUCAUGAUGGGCAGUGGAGUCCUUUGAAGAUGGGAUGUAGUGCUUGAUUAAGACGAUUGUGAUCUAAAGAAAAAAAAAGCCCAGUUAGCUAAAGCACGAGGUGAUAUUCAUAAAGCCACUACUCAAAAAAGUUUUGCAUUGUCUAAAAAGAAUGAAUUAUGUCUUCGACUGAAGUCGCUGAACCUGAGGUUAAGGAGGAUGGAUAUGCAAGUUUGGGAAUCGGGCUAAGUAAGUUUUCAGGUUCAAUUCCUAAUCACACCUAUAAUUCACAUAUUCAACUCAUCAUGCAAAGAAGCAAGGGAGCAACAUUGAUUUUGCAACAUCAAAGAAUUUUGCAAAUCCACAUGGGAGCAACUAUGAUUUUGUAAAUUGAAGGCGGUGGCGGUGAUGAUAAGUUGCGACCAUAACACACAUAUUAAACCUAGACACAAACUUUUGGGUCUAGCUUAUGCAUUUAACUAAAUCAAUGUGACUUAACGACAACCGGCCGAAUAUAGCUUUAAAUCUAGCCCCCGCCGCAUCGCGGCGGGUUGCAUUUCUAGUUCUAUCAAAAUCUCAAACAUUAUUUUGUAAUUCCUAAAUCUUCGUUUGUAAUAAUCUAAUAUCUUCUUUGUUUAACCAGUGUAACACUCGAGUUUCUAACCUUCAUACA